AAACGGGCCACCGGAGGGCAGAGGCUCGGGGCCUGGGCCCGUAUCCUCAGGGGUCGACGACGGCCACCGCGUCGACCUCGUUCCCGGCGGCAGGAUGCCAGCCGAAGCCUCCAACCUGCGGGGCCGACUUGGGAUCGCACCUUCGCCGUGUGAUCGCUCGCGGGUUCUCCUUGCCCUGCGAUCGCUUCUGCCGACAAGUGCAGCGUUAGUGGGUGGCAUGUGGAGACAAACAUGCGGCAGUGCCCACGUGGAAGCCUCUUCACCCUCAAAUGCUCGUCUUUGCUGCGUUGGUUGUUUAGGAUUACUUGAAAAAUGGGUCAAAUCUGCAUAUGGCUAGCAUAUACCCAUUUGCAUGGAAGGAAAAGCAAUACUGAGCACCUGCCAAAAGAUGUUCAUAGAGACCUACGACGUACAAGUUUUGUUUGGUAUGCUGACAGACAGGACAGCAUGCAGAAGCACUUGGACAAGUUGCGAUUGGAGAUUGUGGAGUCCAAGUCGAUGAAGAGAAGAUAGUGCACAGAGAGUCCAAGACUCUAGGGAAAAGGAGGAGAAUAUUAGGGAAAAUAAAUUUGGAAAUCCCGUUGUUUAUUAUUCUUGGAGGAAACCCAUUGUACUACUACCUCCAUCCCAAAAUAAGUAUCUCAACUUUAGUGCAACUUGUGCUAAAGUUAGAACAAACUUGAGACAUUUAUUUUGGGACAGAGGGAGUAUUAGGUAAGGUCUAACUAAGGACCCUAAUUGUGUUAGGAAAGGUCAAGGGCUUCAGCAUCCACUUUUAUAAAGAUGCGAUGCAUGUA